UUGUCUUCGGUUUGAGAUCAGAGGUGCAACUGACCUGGGUCCUACAGAAUGAUGCAACUCGUUGAAUCUAAAUUGACUGGAGUAGUGAAGCAAAGAUGCUGAGAAAGAAUUAUCUUGAGCACGUUGCAACUUGAAAGUGGAGUCCCAGCCCUUGCUCUUUGCCUCUGAUACUUCGCAGGACAUUCCUGAAAUAUCAGAUGAUGAGGCCCUUCUCCUUUACGACAGCAGCCUUAUCCCUACAGAAUAAAACCCUGUAUGUGCCGAUGCAAAAUCCUUAUGAGAGUACAGAUUCUGCGGGUGCUGAUUUCUUUUGUUUCACUUCGCUGGCUAUUUAAUAAAAGUGUAAAAUUGAUCCAAAUA